rnacentral:rRNA from 1 species
GAUGAACGCUAGCGGGAGGCCUAACACAUGCAAGCCGAGCGGUAGAGAUUCUUCGGGAUCUUGAGAGCGGCGUACGGGUGCGUAACACGUGUGCAACCUGCCUUUAUCUAGGGGAUAGCCUUUCGAAAGGAAGAUUAAUACCCUAUAAUAUAUUGAUUGGCAUCAAUUGAUAUUGAAAACUCCGGUGGAUAGAGAUGGGCACGCGCAAGAUUAGAUAGUUGGUGAGGUAACGGCUCACCAAGUCGAUGAUCUUUAGGGGGCCUGAGAGGGUGAUCCCCCACACUGGUACUGAGACACGGACCAGACUCCUACGGGAGGCAGCAGUGAGGAAUAUUGGACAAUGGGUGAGAGCCUGAUCCAGCCAUCCCGCGUGAAGGACGACGGUUCUAUGGAUUGUAAACUUCUUUUGUACAGGGAUAAACCUACCCUCGUGAGGGUAGCUGAAGGUACUGUACGAAUAAGCACCGGCUAACUCCGUG